AAUUGACUGUAUUGCUAAUAUUGUUCCCCCAUGUCCCACUGCCAUUUCCUCUCCUUCCCCCUGUUUAGUAGAGUGCCCCAAGUGUGGCUAUACAUACUUGAAAAACGGGACCCUUUCAGUGUUGAAGCACUCUUAAAAGGAUAGGGAAAGCUGGCAUAGAUGGCCAACUGGGAUCUCUUCUACCCCCUACUCCAGAAGGAAAAAUCCAAAAGCUGGAAGGUGCCUAGCUUUAAAUUUCCCAUUUCAUGAGCAUCAUGUAGUCUCAUAACUACAUGGUAAUGCUUGUUUCCCCAGAAGAUGCUGAGAGCAAGCAGACCUACCACCAGGCAUGGUUUGACCAAACCUAGAGCUGAGCCCUUAGUGUGACUGGAUUUUCCCCUUGUACAACUUGAUUGUAAUGUUUACUGAUCUGUUAUUAACAGCAUCUGUUUUGGAGCCCUGCAAAGCAUCAACUGAGCAUAACUGAAGACUGGUGUAUAGGGAGAACUUGUGGUGCUUCCUGUCAAAGACCUGAGACUCUUGAGGAGGUUGACCUCAGAAUACAGCACGCCAGCUGGUUUGCCCUUUGCUUGUAGUUAAACAUGAAUCAAACCAUAUCAGUGAGUCUACAUGUCCGAUAGCUACACCACCAUUUCGGGACAGGCCCAGGAACAAACUCAAUACCACAUCAGUGAUGACAGCUGUCAUUGUUAGAAAUAAGCUCUGGAGCAAUGAUAAUUCCUGCUGUAAUUCCAAGAUGCCAACAUUAGAGGGUUUGACGCUUGCAAGACGCACUGGCCACACUUUGGAGGAGAGCAGCUAUAAAGCAGAG
rnacentral:lncRNA from 1 species